GCUGGGCUUGGUGGCCCAUGCCUAUAAUCCCAGUGGCUUGGGAGGCUGAGGCAGGAGGAUCUCAAGUACAAAACCAGCCUCAG
rnacentral:sRNA from 1 species